GUGCCAGCAGCCGCGGUAAUACGAACUGUGCAAACGUUAUUCGGAAUCACUGGGCUUACAGGGUGCGUAGGCGGCCUGACAAGUAGGGUGUGAAAGCCCCCGGCUCAACCGGGGAAUGGCGCCCUAAACUGUCGGGCUGGAGUGAGAUAGGGGUGUGCGGAACUUCCGGUGGAGCGGUGAAAUGUGUUGAUAUCGGAAGGAACGCCGGUGGCGAAAGCGGCACACUGGAUCUCAACUGACGCUGAGGCACGAAAGCCAGGGGAGCGAACGGGAUUAGAUACCCCUGUAGUCC
rnacentral:rRNA from 1 species